rnacentral:lncRNA from 1 species
GUUAUGGCUUUUGUCCAUUUAUUGAAGGGCACUUGCAACCUGCCAUAUGUAGCCGUCUAUCUUUGUUCCUUGUUUCAGGGAAACAAUAUCUUCUUAGAUUUUUACUUUUUUUUUUCUUUUUCUGGACUUGGAAGUUUGGGCAUAGCCACUUUUAUAUAUUUAAAAUGAGACCAUACCGAAAAAGGUUUUGGGUGUAUUUAGUAUACCAAUAUGCAGCAUGAGAUGCAAAUACAGCGUUUCGAACUAAAUUAAUCUAUAAUGUCAUCAUCUCGGCUUAAGGUUUAACAGUUAACAAUAUUACGUGUUAUAAUUUGAGUUAAUUAGGUAGGAUAGUGUCAUCACGCACCUAUUUUUACUUCUCAUACACUCUUCUUAAUUUUCGGUCGUCAGAUUAAAUAAAUUAAUUGAAGAAUAUCAAUGACAGAAAAUUAAAAAGAGUAGAGGAGGUAAAAAUGAGCAUGUAAAUUGCACUAUCCAUUUAGUAGACCACUUUAUAGUAUGUCGUGUGAUGUAUACAAUAUAUGUGAUAAUUUUUUUCGUUCAGUCUAUUCAUGUAUUAAAUUAAAAAAGUGACUCGUAUAAAUAAUGUCGCAUACACAAGUUUCGUCUUAAAAGAUACAAUUAACGAUGUGAUUUGUAAAUAUGAUAAUUAUAUGUGUCCUAGUCCAAAAUACGGUAGAAAUGAUGUAACCUUUUCCACAUUCCUUGUACAACAUAAAGCCAUUUUUUCUUGGAAUCAAUAAAGAAGAAUUUAGAGACAAGUAGCUCAAAUUAAGCUAUCAUCUCACAUUACUCAAAAGAUAUGGAGGAUUUUGUGAUUCUAUUGCAGUUGUGGUGGUAGUGAGAUUUAGUAUUUAGUUUUACGCAAAGCUUUAUAAUUAUCACACCUUCAAUUUGUUUAAUGUUCUUCCAAAUCAAAGCACAUUUGAAACAUGCUUUUUGUAACUAACCUACCUACUUAAUCAAGUGUGACACAUGACAUAAUUCCUUUGAACCAAAGUUUAUGGAGAAGGGUCGAUCCAGCAGUGGUGGCUGGUGAGAAAGAUAGAUGCAAACAAAUUGUGUCGGUCCUUAAUUUUUCACAUCCAAUAGAGAGCAUACGAGAUUUUGGAUUUUGGAAUAAUAAUAGUGGCCCAUAUUCCGUGAGCUGUUCACACAUGUUUUUGCAAGUAUGUUCCUUGCUUAUAUUCUAGUGAAUAAAAGUUAAGACAUGGCUUUCAAAAUUGCGGGUCGUUUGCUAUGUGCACAUGAGACACGCCUUCAUCGAGUUUAAUCUUUCUUUUCUUUUUCUUUCGUUUUUUUCUUUGAGUGGAACCAUAGUUGUAUUUGUGUUUUAAUUGUAUUAUUAUUAAGGGGGGAGGGGAUUGGAAACUAUUACAAUAAUUCAAGUGAUGAGGAGUUUUGAACCCGAGAUACAUGAGUAGAAACUCAACACCUUAUCCAUUAAAAUGUUAGACCGCAUGCAACGAUAGUUGUUUUAUUAGAGUAUUAAAAAAAAUACAGAAAGUAAAAAGGACAUUCUGGAUGAAGUCCGAGCAGUCCUCAGACUAAAGGUCAUAAUUAAGUAAAAAAUGUCAUUGUAUCAACAUAUUUGUGGAGUGACAAGCGCAAUUUUCUUUAUCUUAUGGAGAGAGAGGGAGAGAAAGGCUACAUUGCAAUUGCACAUCCAAAUAAGAAUAGUAAAUCAAACAAAACAGGUGAUAAAUUAGUUAAAUGCGUUUCUUUUUCUUCAAGUAACAACAAGCUAGGUUCCCCUACCUUCUCCAACAACGAGAGAGAGAGAGAGAGAAGGAAAGGGAGAGAGAUGGGAAAGCAAUUUCUUUUCAAAUAUAAAACAGCUCAUGAACUAUUUCUUAAUAACUGAAUUAUGCCGGCCUAACAAAAAAAAUCUCAUGAUCACCGAUUGUUUAACAAAGCAAAUCUAUAUUAAAACAGGAUUAUGCAUGUGGACGAUGGAUGUUUAACACCAAUCAAUUAAUUUAAUUUGAUCUUAAUUAAGGGUAAUCAAGGUUUUAAAGCUUGUGCAUGUAAUACUUUGAGAUUCGGUAAUAAUGUUGUGUAUGAGUAAUCGAGUUUAACACUAAUCAAUCAGUCUAAUUAAGAUUUAGUGAUCUUUUUAUUCUGUCAUUUCCUUCACCUGUCCCCUCUCUGGCCACUACUCUCCAAUCAUGUACAAUUCUACAGAAUUUAUUAGCAUCCCUUUCUUUAAAGUUAAUGACUUUUUAAUGCAUAUCAUUAAAAGAUAACAACACUUAAAAACUUACCCCCCCCCCACUUCUCGGAAAAUGGCUGGUGUCACCCAAUGAGCAAUCAACCAGCUCAAGUAACAAAUCACUGUGCCCAAGCAAUUACAUUGGCAGUAAAUUACUUUGCCCUAGCAAUAGCUUUUCGCCCAAGUAUUAAGAGGGUAAUGACCUCGCAAGUAAUAGUAGGAUAAUAACUUUCGCACUCUCGUUCCUCUCUUGCACUCUUUUUUAUUUGUUUUUAACAUUUAGAUCAAACAAUCAAGAAACGUCAAAAAAUUGAAUAUAACAUAAAACCAAUAGAAAAUAAAAAAGAGUGUGAAAAUCAGUUCCUCGUAAAAAUUAAGUUAUUUAAGUAUCGAAAUAUAAAUCUAGCCGCGUGUGGCGUGUGUGCGAGUAAAAAUCUUUCCAUAAAAACACGUUUGAAUACGAGUGCAUGAUCGGAAACCAGUCGUUGGGCCAAAAAAAUCGUUGCCUAUCACGUGCUUUAAA